rnacentral:rRNA from 1 species
CUACGGGAUGCAGCAGUGGGGAAUUUUGGACAAUGGGCGCAAGCCUGAUCCAGCAAUGCCGCGUGCAGGAUGAAGGCCUUCGGGUUGUAAACUGCUUUUGUACGGAGCGAAAAGGCUUCCACUAAUACUGGGGGCUCAUGACGGUACCGUAAGAAUAAGCACCGGCUAACUACGUGCCAGCAGCCGCGGUAAUACGUAGGGUGCAAGCGUUAAUCGGAAUUACUGGGCGUAAAGCGUGCGCAGGCGGUCUUGUAAGACAGGUGUGAAAUCCCCGGGCUUAACCUGGGAACUGCACUUGUGACUGCAAGGCUGGAGUACGGCAGAGGGGGAUGGAAUUCCGCGUGUAGCAGUGAAAUGCGUAGAUAUGCGGAGGAACACCGAUGGCGAAGGCAAUCCCCUGGGCCUGUACUGACGCUCAUGCACGAAAGCGUGGGGAGCAAACAGGAUUAGAUACCCCAGUAGUCC